GAUUCACAUUUAUAUAAGCUUUUCAGAUCUAGGUUCAGAUUCAUAUUAAGGUUUCCGAAUCAGAUUUAAAAUUCAGAUUUAAGAUUCACAUUUAGAUUUGAAUUUCAGAUUCAGAUUUCAGAUCAAGAAGGUUCACCUGGAGCUUGCGAUAUCUAGCAGAUGAUUGUUCCACCUACUGGUCUCGCGGUGGCCAGGAAACACACGAUGCUAUGCGCAAUGUGGAAAUUCGUUGGAUCAGUUUAUGUUUCCAAAAAGCGUCUGUGUGGUGGAAGCCCGUGGUUUGGAUGAUCUGGUCCUCCUAGUCAACUAUACUCCUAAAUUUCCUUUACUACACACACCUUACCGAAGUCAGUUUCGGAGUGGCCAAUGUGUGCAGAAACGGAUUCCAUCCGGGGCGGUGGGAAUCUGACAACCACCAUUUUUCACAUUUCAACCCUAACUGAGCUAAUGGCUUGCUGCGGUCUGGUCUAAGACUACAAACCAAGGGAGGAUAAGCUACACGUGGUCGGGCACGUUGCGAAGUCAGACAAAAGUUUAUCAUCUAUCGUCUGUAGAGGUGACGCUGAACGAGCAAAGAUCCGGGAUUCGCUGUGGACGACCUACUUUUGCUUCUCGCAUGACAUGCUCGUCGACUACAUGAAUCUGAUACUCGAGCUACUGGAAACCAAAUUAAACCUGGACAUAAACCAGCAGAAACAAGGCUGACAUUACCUAGCUUACCACCAUCAGCUGAUCUUUAGCCGAAAAAGGAUACGUUUAUGUCAAACAAUAUUGUUCGGUUG